rnacentral:rRNA from 1 species
GACGAACGCUGGCGGCGUGCCUAAUACAUGCAAGUUGAGCGCUGAAGGUUGGUACUUGUACCAACUGGAUGAGCAGCGAACGGGUGAGUAACGCGUGGGGAAUCUGCCUUUGAGCGGGGGACAACAUUUGGAAACGAAUGCUAAUACCGCAUAAAAACUUUAAACACAAGUUUUAAGUUUGAAAGAUGCAAUUGCAUCACUCAAAGAUGAUCCCGCGUUGUAUUAGCUAGUUGGUGAGGUAAAGGCUCACCAAGGCGAUGAUACAUAGCCGACCUGAGAGGGUGAUAGGCCACAGUGGGACUGAGACACGGCCCAAACUCCUACGGGAGGCAGCAGUAGGGAAUCUUCGGCAAUGGACGAAAGUCUGACCGAGCAACGCCGCGUGAGUGAAGAAGGUUUUCGGAUCGUAAAACUCUGUUGGUAGAGAAGAACGUUGGUGAGAGUGGAAAGCUCAUCAAGUGACGGUAACUACCCAGAAAGGGACGGCUAACUACGUG